rnacentral:rRNA from 1 species
AUUGAACGCUGGCGGCAGGCUUAACACAUGCAAGUCGAGCGGGGUGAUGGUGCUUGCACUAUCACUUAGCGGCGGACGGGUGAGUAAUGCUUAGGAAUCUGCCUAUUAGUGGGGGACAACAUCUCGAAAGGGAUGCUAAUACCGCAUACGUCCUACGGGAGAAAGCAGGGGAUCACUUGUGACCUUGCGCUAAUAGAUGAGCCUAAGUCGGAUUAGCUAGUUGGUGGGGUAAAGGCCUACCAAGGCGACGAUCUGUAGCGGGUCUGAGAGGAUGAUCCGCCACACUGGGACUGAGACACGGCCCAGACUCCUACGGGAGGCAGCAGUGGGGAAUAUUGGACAAUGGGGGGAACCCUGAUCCAGCCAUGCCGCGUGUGUGAAGAAGGCCUUUUGGUUGUAAAGCACUUUAAGCGAGGAGGAGGCUCUUUUGGUUAAUACCCAAGAUGAGUGGACGUUACUCGCAGAAUAAGCACCGGCUAACUCUGUGCCAGCAGCCGCGGUAA